CUGGGCGUUAAGUUGCAGGGUAUAGACCCGAAACCCGGUGAUCUAGCCAUGGGCAGGUUGAAGGUUGGGUAACACUAACUGGAGGACCGAACCGACUAAUGUUGAAAAAUUAGCGGAUGACUUGUGGCUGGGGGUGAAAGGCCAAUCAAACCGGGAGAUAGCUGGUUCUCCCCGAAAGCUAUUUAGGUAGCGCCUCGUGAAUUCAUCUCCGGGGGUAGAGCACUGUUUCGGCAAGGGGGUCAUCCCGACUUACCAACCCGAUGCAAACUGCGAAUACCGGAGAAUGUUAUCACGGGAGACACACGGCGGGUGCUAACGUCCGUCGUGAAGAGGGAAACAACCCAGACCGCCAGCUAAGGUCCCAAAGUCAUGGUUAAGUGGGAAACGAUGUGGGAAGGCCCAGACAGCCAGGAUGUUGGCUUAGAAGCAGCCAUCAUUUAAAGAAAGCGUAAUAGCUCACUGGUCGAGUCGGCCUGCGCGGAAGAUGUAACGGGGCUAAACCAUGCACCGAAGCUGCGGCAGCGACACUAUGUGUUGUUGGGUAGGGGAGCG
rnacentral:rRNA from 1 species